AUCCAGCUGACGAGUCCCAAAAAAGAGGACGAAGCGCGCGUCCUGGAU
rnacentral:hammerhead_ribozyme from 1 species